rnacentral:tRNA from 1 species
AGGAGUGGAGUACGGUAGUACAUUUCAGUUACAUCGAAAAAGAUUUCCUUGAAGGAAACAUUCCUA